GCCAGCAUGGCAUAGUGGUUUGAGUGUUAGACCACGACUCUGAGGACCAGGGUUUGAUUCCUGCUUGGCC